UGUUUCAAAAGUUUGUCAAAAUAUUUUUCUCACAUGAUCUAAAUUUUAUCUGUUUGUGAUAUUGGCUGUUUUAGCGUGAGGUAAAAAGGAUCCACAGGAGUCUGGAGGAUGGACACAAAUACAGAGGAAAUGAGAGGAGCAACAGAUACUUUGAGAAUCGAAGUUGUCAGAAGACAAAGUGGAAGAGGAUCAGAGGGCCAAAGCGCUCAACAACCGAAGACAUAGACUUUUAAAUUCACACCGAUCUGCUGCUCGCUCAUCUUAACCAAUGAGGAGUACAGAUACCUGGAAUGGGCGCCUGCAUGCAUGAUGAGCGACGAGGAGACGGACACUGAAGACAAAGACGCGUGGAAAGCAUGUCCACCUGAAUGGAGGACAACAAGACUCACGGACAUGUUAGAAAGGUGUCAGCGCCACCUCGUUGACCUACAAAAGAUGUCCUCCAGGAUGGUGCACCAGAGAGCGCCCAGUGGUGUAUAUAGCCAGAGGCAGCCGC